UAAAGAACCUGCCUCAUAGACUGGGACAACUAUUGGAAACGAUAGCUAAUACCGGAUAACAGCAUUAACUGCAUGGUUGAUGUUUAAAAGUUGGUUUCGCUAACACUAUGAGAUGGCUUUGCGGUGCAUUAGCUAGUUGGUGGGGUAAAGGCCUACCAAGGCGACGAUGCAUAGCCGACCUGAGAGGGUGAUCGGCCACACUGGGACUGAGACACGGCCCAG
rnacentral:rRNA from 1 species